rnacentral:rRNA from 1 species
UACGUAGGUGGCAAGCGUUGUCCGGAUUUACUGGGCGUAAAGAGCGCGCAGGCGGUCGUUCAAGUCGCGUGUGAAAGCCCCCGGCUCAACUGGGGAGGGUCACGCGAUACUGAUCGACUCGAAGGCAGGAGAGGGAAGUGGAAUUCCCGGUGUAGCGGUGAAAAUGCGCAGAUAUCGGGAAGAACACCCGUGGCGAAGGCGGCUCUCUGGGACGGUACUGACGCUGAGACGCGGAAAGCGUGGGGGAGCGAACAGGA